rfam:Parcubacteria bacterium GW2011_GWA2_47_8 TY09_C0042, whole genome shotgun sequence.
GCCCAGAUGGCGGAAUUGGCAUACGCAGCAGGUUGAGGGCCUGUGCCUCACGGCGUGUGGGUUCGAGUCCCACUCUGGGCA